GAUGAACGCUGGCGGCGUGCCUAAUACAUGCAAGUCGAGCGAACAGACGAGGAGCUUACUCCUCUGACGUUAGCGGCGGACGGGUGAGUAACACGUGGAUAACCUACCUAUAAGACUGGGAUAACUUCGGGAAACCGGAGCUAAUACCGGAUAACAUGUUGAACCGCAUGGUUCAACAGUGGAAGACGGUCUUGCUGUCACUUAUAGAUGGAUCCGCGUCGCAUUAGCUAGUUGGUAAGGUAACGGCUUACCAAGGCAACGAUGCGUAGCCGACCUGAGGGGGUGAUCGGCCACACUGGAACUGAGACACGGUCCAGACUCCUACGGGAGGCAGCAGUAGGGAAUCUUCCGCAAUGGGCGAAAGCCUGACGGAGCAACGCCGCGUGAGUGAAGAAGGUCUUCGGAUCGUAAAACUCUGUUAUUAGGGAAGAACAAAUGUGUAAGUAACUAUGCACGUCUUGACGGUACCUAAUCAGAAAGCCACGGCUAACUACGUG
rnacentral:rRNA from 1 species